rnacentral:rRNA from 1 species
UACACUCCUACGGGAGGCAGCAGUGGGGAAUUUUGGACAAUGGGCGAAAGCCUGAUCCAGCAAUGCCGCGUGAGUGAAGAAGGCCUUCGGGUUGUAAAGCUCUUUUGUCAGGGAAGAAACGGUGAAAGCUAAUAUCUUUUGCUAAUGACGGUACCUGAAGAAUAAGCACCGGCUAACUACGUGCCAGCAGCCGCGGUAAUACGUAGGGUGCAAGCGUUAAUCGGAAUUACUGGGCGUAAAGCGUGCGCAGGCGGUUUUGUAAGUCUGAUGUGAAAUCCCCGGGCUCAACCUGGGAAUUGCAUUGGAGACUGCAAGGCUAGAAUCUGGCAGAGGGGGGUAGAAUUCCACGUGUAGCAGUGAAAUGCGUAGAUAUGUGGAGGAACACCGAUGGCGAAGGCAGCCCCCUGGGUCAAGAUUGACGCUCAUGCACGAAAGCGUGGGGAGCAAACAGGAUUAGAUACCCGAGUAGUCC